AGUGAACGCUGGCGGCGUGGAUUAGGCAUGCAAGUCGAGCGAACUUAUUUUUUUUGUUAUUGCAGGGUAACUUGUGGUAGCAAGAAAAAUGAGUUAGCGGCAAACGGGUGAGUAAUGCAUGGGUAACGUACCUUGAAGAGAGGGAUAGCCUCGCGAAAGCGGGAGUAAUACCUCAUGUGCCCAGUGUUUCGACGGAAAUACUGGUGAAAGAUGGCCUCUACUUGUAAGCUAUCACUUUAAGAGCGGCCCAUGUCCUAUCAGGUAGUUGGUGGGGUAACGGCCUACCAAGCCUAAGACGGGUAGCUGGUUUGAGAGAAUGGUCAGCCACAUCGGGACUGAGACACUGCCCGGACUCCUACGGGAGGCUGCAGUCGAGGAUCUUUUCCAAUGGACGAAAGUCUGAGAAUGCGACGCCGCGUGAGGGAUGAAGGCCUUCGGGUUGUAAACCUCUUUUGUUGGGGAGGAAUGCUGCACGGUAAAUAAUCGUGCAGUUUGACUGUACCCGGCGAAUAAGCCACGGCUAACUCCGUGCCAGCAGCCGCGGUAAUACGGAGGUGGCGAGCGUUACUCGGUUUGACUGGGUGUAAAGGGUCCGCAGGCGGUCUAAUAAGUAGAAAGUGAAAUCCUUCGGCUUAACCGGAGAACUGCUUUCUAAACUGUUAGACUAGAGGAUGGGAGAGGAGAUCGGAACUGUCAGUGUAAGGGUGAAAUCUGUGGAUAUUGACAGGAACGUCAGUGGGGAAGCCGGAUCUCUGGUCCAUUCCUGACGCUCAGGGACGAAAGCUAGGGGAGCAAACAGAAUUAGAUACUCUGGUAGUCCUAGCCGUAAACGAUGGGCACUAGGUGUCUAUCCGUAAGGAUGGGUGCCGCAGCUAACGCGUUAAGUGCCCCACCUGGGGACUACGGCCGCAAGGCUAAAACUCAAAGGAAUUGGCGGGGGCCCGCACAAGCAGUGGAACACGUGGUUUAAUUCGAUGCUACGCGAGGAACCUUACCAGGGUUUGACAUGCUAGUAGUAAUUACCUGAAAGGGUGGAUGAACUGUAACCAGUCAGUUGCUAGCACAGGUGCUGCAUGGCUGUCGUCAGCUCGUGCCGUGAGGUGUUCCCUUAAGUGGGACAACGAGCGCAACCCUCGCCCUUAGUUGCUAGCUUUUGUGUUGAACAAGAGCGCGCUCUAAGGGGACAGCCCGCGUUAAGUGGGAGGAAGGCGGGGACGACGUCAAGUCCGCAUGGCCCUUAUAUCCUGGGCUACACACGUGUUACAAUGCCGGUUACAACGGGAGGCGAAACCGUAAGGUGGAGCAAAUCCUUAAAAAGCCGGCUCAGUUCGGAUUGAGGGCUGCAACUCGCCCUCAUGAAGCUGGAAUUGCUAGUAAUGGCGCAUCAGCUAUGGCGCCGUGAAUACGUUCCCGGGCCUUGCACACACCGCCCGUCAAGCGCUGAAAGUGAGAGGCACCCAAAGUCCCCGUUAGGAGAACACGGUGAAUUUCAUGAUUGGCGCU
rnacentral:rRNA from 1 species